AAUCAGCAUGUUACUUUAUUUUAUCAACAACCAGGCAAAAGAUCUACCCUUUAUGGUGUGUCUGGAGAAAACAAAAUACAAAUUCAAUGGGUAUUGUCUUGAAUCCUAGAGGUUUAGUUCAACCUACACGAAGGUAAGUGCCUCACUUGAAUUGGGAGCAGGGAAGACCCUGGAGGACAGGGCUGUCCAAACAGCCGUGUCGAUAGUGAGGGACUCUCUAGGGCAAGAGGUUUGUGUACAACUUCUUUCCCUCUGGAUACCUCUGGCCUUUAUCAGUGUCUCCUUCAUUCAGCAAAAGACUCCUGUAGAUGCUGGAGAUGAAGUGGAGGGAACAGACCUAGUCUUGACGUGUGGACUUCACACACCACUGUAGGCAUCAACUAAGAAGGUGGAUGCCAGCACUUUCUCACACUGGGGAGGCCCCACCUUGAAAACACUGUGAUGUGCUUUACACACAUUUGAUCAUCUGAUCUUACAGGUAAUAGCUUGGGGAGUGUGGCUUACAUGCGGUGGGCAGGACACACAGGUAUAGUGGGUGGAGCACACAGAUAAGGCUGUCAGUUAUUAGGUAAUAAAGCCAGGACAGCAGAACCAAGGGCCCUGGAUCCGGCUGGACUCUGUUUAAGACCUCGUCCCUGCAAUGUGCCAUCCUGGCAGGUGCAGGAGAUGCUCAGGGACACAGGGAGAGCCAGGACCCCUUGUGUCCUGAAGGAGCAUCACUGGUGAGAGAGAGACAUGAGAACAACUGCACUGAAAAGCAGAAAGUAAACGCCAAAUGUGAGUCCACGGCACCUGGGAGAUGCUGUCGACUCCCAAGUCACAGACUCUCAACCUUCUUCCAAUUUCAGUCCCAGCAGUGGAGGACAGCGCCGGGAGCACUGCGGGAGGCUAAGGACGUUGCGGACAGCUGGGAGAUAGCUGUUGGCCCGCCCACCCACAAGAAUCCCUGAGCACCAGAGUGGUCUGCAACUUUGGAGUCACAGAUGAUUGAGGCUCAACAUAAAUGGACAGGGUCUCGCUAUGUUACCCAGGCUGUUCUCAAAGUCCUGGCCUCAAUGGAUCCUCCCACCUCGGCUUCCCACUGUGCUGGGAUUACAGACGUAAGCCAUGGCACUUGGCCCAGGAAAAAGUUAUUGAUACACACAACAACCUCAAUGGAUCUUCAGGGAAUAAUGCUCAGGGGAAAAAAGCCAGUCUCCAGAGGUUACACAUGGCUCUCAUCAUCCUGCCGGAUGGAUCUUCUCAGGGGAGCGUGUGGCCACCACUCCUCUGAAGGCACCUGGGCACCGCCAGGCGCUUUGGAAAGCAGAGCCCGAUCUUAGCAGAGAGACAGAGAGGCAGCCCGGAGGGACAGCGCCUAAGCAAUCGUCCUGUGGGCAUCUAUGAAAGAAAGAAAAGAAAGAGCUUCACUCCCUCCUAACUGCAGUUGCUUCCUUAUACCUGACUUGCAACUAUGUGGGAAUGGAACGUUUGAGACAAAACAAACCUUAAAGGCCAUCCAGAUCGACUCUUAAAUAACACCCAACACGAAGAAGCUUCAGCUGUUGCUGGUCACCCUGCUGGCUUUCUGCCGGCCGAGUGACCCGCUCUGUCUUUGGCAGCUCUCACAGUGCUUGGGUCUUCUCUACUGCUCUGGGGCUACCCCCACCCACCCAGACAUGUGCCCUCCAGAGCCACGGAGAGUAUGUGGAUAUCUUCUUUAUGAGAACAGGAACCAGAUUCUAUGGAACCAAGUUUGAAAAUCCCAGUUUCCAGGAUGGACUCUAUCCAGAUGUGGGAACCGUGCAUGCUGGGAAACUCUUUUGCUCCCUGUGAAGCAGGCUGGCUGGCCUCCUGUUGUGAUCUGGUCUAGAGAAGAAGAACAAAAGCCCCUUACUCAAGCUCUAGCUUAUCUAACUUUCAGCCAGUCAGCAACAAAAGACCCAACACACUGUUAACCACAAGUUCCUGCUUCCAUUAGGACUCAAACUCAACCUAUAGUUAUCCCUUCCUCAUUGUAAUGCUAAAAGUCACACCCAGAGGUGCAGAUUUAAAGUAUGCAUGCUACAUGCAGUGUAUACAGAAGUGUAUUAAAUCCCUGCCCAGGUGCUGAAAAGGAUCCUUCUCUACAUGUUCUGAUGUCUCCCUUCCCUAUAGGAGAGUCCUAUAAAAUGAACUCCCACGCUGCUUUCAGAGAGCAGCCCGUCCUUCCCUUCUGCAGUGCUGACUCCACUGUGCACAAGCUAAAUAAACUUUUCACUAG
ensembl:lncRNA